GACAGUUUUAUCAUCCACAUUGCUGACCUGGAAGAUGCAUCAUUGUCUAUGAUAUCUGCAAUGGAAAUGAUCACUAGGCAAUUUCAGCCUUGCAAAUCUAACUGUGGCGUGUGGAAAGAAGAGGAACCAGAAAAGAAUGUUUGUGAAGUUCUGGCUUGAAUCUCGUGCCGGGAGUGUGAAGAAGGUCCUUGCUUCCCCUUCACCUUCUGCCAUGAUUCUAAGUUUCCUGACGCCUCCCAGCCGUGCUUCCUGUUAAGCCUGUGAAACUAAAUUUGGGGGAUGCAUGCAACUUUUCCCUUGUCUGAAGUGAUAACUCUGCAUUCAUUCUUGACCACCAUUAAUCAUGCAUAGCUGUGCUCACUGAGGCAAUGUUUUUGAGCCAAUGGAUGAACAAGAUCUCAUUAGCACUGGUUUCCAUGGUUUAUCGCUCAUGGCCAAUGUCACACAGAAUUUUCAACCAGGAUGGGAACGCCCAGCAGCUGGAUGUCCAGCUGCCAAUUCAUCAAUUUGAGAACCUUUGGAAUGAGUACACAUCCAGGAGUGAAGAAGACAAGCUCAACUGCCAUUCUCUGAGCAGUUCAAGGCAUACUGAGUUGCGGGAGUUGUGUGGUGGUCCACUCUGACUGCAAGCACCCCUUUCUUGAACCGAACAGAGUCAAGUGGAAUCAAAGGACAUUACCUGUUGAUUCUUGGGCAAGGCCCAGAAUUUGGUGGACAUACUUAAAGAAGAAAGGAAUCUUCAGCUAAAGUGUCUACGAUCAAUUCAGAUUUGGAGGGCAUGGAUCUUCUGACAGUAGGGGCCAUUCUAGGAUUUUUUGGUUGAAGAGAUGAACUUCAACUUGGUUCCAGAUGGGUGGUCCAGCUAUUCUGCUGACAACAUUUUUCAGGGCAAGGCUUUUGCUACUGGAAUGAUUUAAGGAAGAUCCCUCAGUGUUUCAGAGUAAAGAUAUUUCUAAAGAAGUACCUGUGUCAUUGCCCAUCUUGAAGAUUGACUUUUAUGGAUUGCUCAAAUACUGAUAUCAGCUCAAUGUCAAUAUAUACUCCUACAUAUAAAAUCCAUCUUCUAAUCAUAAUCACUAGGUGGAUAUUGUUAUGCAAGGAAGAGAUGUGAAUAUACAGGAAAUGAGAUCCUUAAAGGGGUUGCCGUCCAGAUGUUAGAUCAAAGAGAUUAUGAUUCAUUCAACCAAGUCGCUGGACUUUUGAAGGCCUAUCCAAGUCAUGGUGCCUUUGAGGUUGCGCCUGUUACUAUUCAAAACUUGGUAUGUGUUAUUCCAUGUAAAUGUUAUGCAAUGAUUCAAAAAUGAAUACCAGGUUGAAAGAUGUUAUAACAGUCCCUUGUUCCAAUGAACUCUACCUUUGUGAGCAAAGGUGACCAAAAAGACCACACUGCAUGACCAGCAGCCCACAAACCAGACUGGGCUAAGUUCUGCUGCUAUUUCUAGAGCUUGCUGCUGUUCAAAGCACUCCUUGGGUCCAGCCAGAUUGCCAUACUUUCUUGAUGUAUUUCCCAUGGCUGCUUCAUUUGUUGUUCAUUUCUCUUAGUGCUUUUAGUAGGUUAUUGUUUUAGGUGGCGUAUCUGUACCUCCUCAUAAAAGAUUUUUGGGUCCACAUUUUCCACUCAAAAUCAUAGUAGCCAUGAUGAACACCUGGCAUCCUUUGGACAACUUUCCAUAACUACAUAAUAAUGAGCCAGUUUUUACCAUCCAUAUUAGAUAUGGCUAGAGUGACUAUUUUCUGAAUCAAAAUUGUGCUGAGCAUUUGCCAAAUAUCAGAUAAACUUAAAGCCCUAGAAGUAUCUUAGAAAGUCCAAGGGGAGUGUCAUUGUUCUAGACUUAGUUCAAAAGAUGCUAGACAAUGGCGUCCAAGUUCAGCCUUUGUAGACAUAUAGAGUGAACAUUACCCUUGCUGUUAUAGGUUUUAUUCUCCACUGAGGGCCACAGAGCCUCACCAUUGGUUUGCCCCACACACAACAGGGUAAAUUCCUACUCCUUUGUCAAUUAGGAAUUUUCCAGGCAAUGUGUUUACCUCUUGGGUAAAUACAUUACUUUCAUCAGUGUAACUUAACUAUAAAGUAUUUUUAGAGGAUCAGAUUAUUUGAGUAUGGCUGUGAUAAGUCUCUCCUUAAAUGGACCUUAACAAAGUAGAAAGAAAACGUUAGCAGACAUUUCAGACUAAUGAUGUUUUCUUUUUUUCAAGUGGGUUAUUUAGAGUUGAAUAGCAAUUACUUAAAGCUAGUAGCAAAGGAACAUUUUCUGUAAUGAUGUUUAUUUAUGCCUUUUCAUUCUAUAACAUUCAGCAUGUGACAAAGGAAUUAGAGAAAAGACUAGUCGAAUCUGGAGCCAUGCAAUUAAUGAAAUCCAUAUGUUUGAAGAAAUCGUCUUAUAUAACUCCCAUGCUUCUGAUAUUUCCUAGAACGUCUUAGAUUGAGGUCAUUGUGCACUAUUAACAGAGUCCUGGUUAAUAAUGUACAAUGACCUUAAUUCAGCAUGUUUUUAAUGAAUAGCUGAACUUCAUGCUUAUAACAUCCUGACUAUGCUUACAAAUAUUUUUCUAAAUUGCUGGUCUGUUUGCAGAUGCAUUAUCAGUGCAUGCAAAAAAUAAGAUUAUGCCUCGUUUAGGAUUCUCUUUCUUGUAAAGUCCAAUCACUGCUGCAUUAAGAUAGGUAUGGGAAUGUGUAGGCAAAGUCACAUAUAGUGACACACAUUGGAUAAAAAAUAUAAACUUCAGCCACAUGAUUCUUUCACUCAAAAACAUAAUGUGGCUCUCCUUUAUAUCUUUUUUUAAUGAUUUGCAUAGCUUUCCAUUGUGUGUAUGUGCUAUAAUUUGUUUUAAUAAACCCCCACUAAUUGAUAGCUGGAUUGUUUCCUAGUUUGUAAUUUAUAAACCAUGAUGCAAUUAACACCCAGGGAAACAUAUCUUUGUGUACUUGACAAAUAUUUCUACAGCAUAAGUUUCUAGAAGGGGAAUUUCUGGUUCAAAGGAAAUGUACACUUAAGCUAUGAUUGGUAUUGCUAAAAAACUAUUUGUUUCAAAUUCUCGCCAAUUCUGGGAAUCGGCAUUUUCAAUUUUUGCCAAUUUGAUGUGUCAAAAAUCUUACU
ensembl:lncRNA LY86-AS1 LY86 antisense RNA 1